UAAAAGUGCCCUUUUUUGUGAUAAAAAGUGCCCUUUUUGUGUUGAAAAGUGCCCUUUUUUUGUGAGGAAAAGUGCCCCUUUUGUAGAAGCUAAUGUCGCUGUAAAUACUAAAUUAAAACAAUAGGUGCCGUUUUUGUGUGGAAAUUUACAAAUUUUUUUUAAAAAUUAGGUCACAAACAUAAAUUUCGGUAUGAUACGACGGAAAAUUUUC